rnacentral:tRNA from 1 species
GGUCGGUUAGCUCAGUUGGUUAGAGCGUGGUACUAAUAUACGAUCGGAUAUGUCAAGUAAUGCCAAGGCCGGGAGUUAAAGCCUCCCACUGAUCA